CAGAAGCUGGUUUCACAUGGUGGUUUAGAUGUGUGUUCCCGUUGUCUAGCACCAUUUGAAAUCAGUGUUCU
rfam:Larimichthys crocea isolate SSNF unplaced genomic scaffold scaffold211, whole genome shotgun sequence.